AUUGAACGCUGGCGGCAUGCUUUACACAUGCAAGUCGAACGGUAACAGGGUGCUUGCACCGCUGACGAGUGGCGAACGGGUGAGUAAUGCGUCGGAACGUGCCGAGUAGUGGGGGAUAACGCAGCGAAAGUUGUGCUAAUACCGCAUACGUACUGAGGUAGAAAGUGGGGGACCUUCGGGCCUCACGCUAUCCGAGCGGCCGACGUCUGAUUAGCUAGUAGGUGAGGUAAAGGCUCACCUAGGCGACGAUCAGUAGCGGGUCUGAGAGGAUGAUCCGCCACACUGGGACUGAGAGACGGCCCAGACUCCUACGGGAGGCAGCAGUGGGGAAUAUUGGACAAUGGGGGGAACCCUGAUCCAGCCAUGCCGCGUGUGUGAAGAAGGCCUUAUGGUUGUAAAGCACUUUAAGCGAGGAGGAGGCUACUCUAGUUAAUACCUAGGGAUAGUGGACGUUACUCGCAGAAUAAGCACCGGCUAACUCUGUGCCAGCCGCCGCAGUAA
rnacentral:rRNA from 1 species